rnacentral:RNase_MRP_RNA from 13 species
ACAUACAAUGCCUUCAGGAAAGUCUCCGGCCAAAGCGUGAGCGUCACCGAAAA